rnacentral:misc_RNA from 1 species
AGGAAGUACAAGUCGUAACAAGGUAUCCGUAGGUGAACCUGCGGAUGGAUCAUUAACAAAGAGAUUCAUCUCAACGUACUGUGAACUGUAUUGACUAACGUCGGGGUGGCCCAUUAAAAUAGUUAUUUAUUUUUCUUGGCCGUCCCGACUUUUUAAACGUAACCAAUGUCUGAAGUCUUUAUUUCUAAUUGAAAUUGAGUACAACUUUUAGCAACGGAUCUCUUGGCUCUC